CCACAUAUAAGACUUGUGAUUCUUGUAGUUGAAUAAGACUGCAUCGACAAGAGUCAAUUGCUUCCAAGAAUGGUUGUACGGGGUAAGGUAUGUUGAACCGAUAUUAUCGAUCGUUUCGAUCGAUCGACGGUAUGGUUCGGUAUGGUUUCAUAUCGUACCGAACCGACGAUCCAAAUCGAAAAAAAAAAGAGAAAAAUAGAAAGAGAAAGAAAAAAAAUGAGGGAGGAGA
rnacentral:lncRNA from 1 species